rnacentral:rRNA from 1 species
UACAGAGGGUGCGAGCGUUGUCCGGAAUCACUGGGCGUAAAGGGCGCGUAGGCGGCUUGAUAAGGUUGCGGUGAAAGCCCGGGGCUCAACCCCGGGUCGGCCGUGGCAACUGUCGAGCUGGAGCACUGUAGAGGCAGGCGGAAUUCCGGGUGUAGCGGUGGAAUGCGUAGAGAUCCGGAAGAACACCGGUGGCGAAGGCGGCCUGCUGGGCAGUGGCUGACACUGAGGCGCGACAGCGUGGGGAGCAAACAGG